UACGUAGGGUGCGAGCGUUAAUCGGAAUUACUGGGCGUAAAGCGUGCGCAGGCGGCUUUGCAAGACAGAUGUGAAAUCCCCGGGCUUAACCUGGGAACUGCAUUUGUGACUGCAUGGCUGGAGUGCGGCAGAGGGGGAUGGAAUUCCGCGUGUAGCAGUGAAAUGCGUAGAUAUGCGGAGGAACACCGAUGGCGAAGGCAGCCCCCUGGGUUAACACUGACGCUCAUGCACGAAAGCGUGGGGAGCAAACAGG
rnacentral:rRNA from 1 species